AUUGAACGCUGGCGGCAGGCUUAACACAUGCAAGUCGAGCGAGAGGCGGACGGGUGAGUAAAGUCUGGGAGACUGCCUGAUGGAGGGGGGUAAAUACAGGAAACGGUAGCUAAUACCGCAUACCAUCAGAUGUGCCCAGAUGGGAUGAGCGAGGAGGGGGGGUAACGGCUCACCUAGGCGCCGAUCCCUAGCUGGUCUGAGAGGAUGACCAGCCACACUGGAACUGAGACACGCUCCGUACUCCUACGUGAGGCAGCAGUGGGGACUAUUGCACAAUGGGCGCAAGCCUGAUGCAGCCAUGCCGCGUGUGUGAAGAAGGCCUUCGGGUUGUAAAGCACUUUCAGCGGGGAGGCGUUACCCGCAGAAGAAGCACCGGCUAACUCCGUGCCAGCCGCCGCGGUAAUAC
rnacentral:rRNA from 1 species